rnacentral:rRNA from 1 species
GACGAACGCUGGCGGCGUGCUUAACACAUGCAAGUCGAACGGUAAGGCCCUUCGGGGUACACGAGUGGCGAACGGGUGAGUAACACGUGGGUGAUCUGCCCUGCACUUCGGGAUAAGCCUGGGAAACUGGGUCUAAUACCGGAUAGGACCACUGCCUGCAUGGGUGGUGGUGGAAAGCUUUUGCGGUGUGGGAUGGGCCCGCGGCCUAUCAGCUUGUUGGUGGGGUGAUGGCCUACCAAGGCGACGACGGGUGGCCGGCCUGAGAGGGUGACCGGCCACGCUGGGACUGAGAUACGGCCCAGACUCCGACGGGAGGCAGCAGUGGGGAAUAUUGCGCAAUGGGCGCAAGCCUGAUGCAGCGACGCCGCGUGAGGGAUGACGGCCUUCGGGUUGUAAACCUCUUUCAGCACCGACGAAGCGCAAGUGACGGUAGGUGCAGAAGAAGGACCGGCCAACUACGUGCCAGCCGCCGCGGUAA